rnacentral:rRNA from 1 species
AUCACAAUACCUCCUUAAACACACCGUAUGUGAUUCAGAAAGUGAAACAGGGUCAGGCCUGGUUAGUAUUUGGAUGGGAGACCAUCAGGGUAUGCCAUGGAUC